rnacentral:tRNA from 1 species
GCCUGGCUGGCUCAGUCAGUAGAGCAUGAAAAUCUUGAUCUCAGUGUUGUGAGUUCGAGUCCCACACUAGGGU